rnacentral:rRNA from 1 species
GAUGAACGCUGGCGGCGUGCCUAAUACAUGCAAGUCGAGCGAACAGACGAGGAGCUUGCUCCUCUGACGUUAGCGGCGGACGGGUGAGUAACACGUGGAUAACCUACCUAUAAGACUGGGAUAACUUCGGGAAACCGGAGCUAAUACCGGAUAAUAUAUUGAACCGCAUGGUUCAAUAGUGAAAGACGGUUUUGCUGUCACUUAUAGAUGGAUCCGCGCCGCAUUAGCUAGUUGAUAAGGUAGCGGCUUACCAAGGCAACGAUGCGUAGCCGACCUGAGAGGGUGAUCGGCCACACUGGAACUGAGACACGGUCCAGACUCCUACGGGAGGCAGCAGUAGGGAAUCUUCCGCAAUGGGCGAAAGCCUGACGGAGCAACGCCGCGUGAGUGAUGAAGGUCUUCGGAUCGUAAAACUCUGUUAUUAGGGAAGAACAAAUGUGUAAGUAACUAUGCACGUCUUGACGGUACCUAAUCAGAAAGCCACGGCUAACUACGUG